CAAACCAAAAUUUAUUACAGACAGAUAUCAAACCAAUCACUUACUUCUAUAGUUCUGUCCAAAGCUGUUUUUAGAGAGAAGAGAUUUGGUUCUGGUAGCAGCAUCCAUGGGGAAGUGGGAUCUCUGUUUCUGAUUCCCUCACCCCUGGCUCAUCUUCCUGCUGAUCUGGGUGACUUGCUCAGCCUGUUUCCUGUGAGGAAUCUGAACUCCUCUUUCCUGUGUUCUUGCCAAGCGUGGAUGCUGUGUGUCAAAGCAAGUGAUGGCCUUGUGAAUCCUUGAGUGCCAGACAUACUCUUCCCUGCCUUGUUGUGCAGCAGCGAUCGCAUUUCCUCAUGCUUGUCGGGGGCAGCUUCUGCCCCCAGUAUAGUAACUCUACUUUGCCUGCCGAUUUACUUGAGAAGGCCUAAACGGCAGUCAAAGCUUUAGGCUCUGUGGAACCCUUACUUAGUCCCUAACCGGAAGUGUACCCUCUUAGGGGACCAGGACGGGUGGCCCAGCAGAGCCUGAGAUUGCAGGGACAGGAGCGACUUCCACUCUUUGUUUCCAAGACAUGUGUAUUCUGCCUAACAGCAACGUGACCCCAUGUCAUGACCAUUGGUUCAAAGCAAUUUUACCCUUUCACAGGGAUAGAGAAGAAACACUGGACUGCAGGAGCCCAUGCGGAUAAAAACAAGUCACUUAAAAGGAACAAAUCAUAGGCUUAGAUCUCUGUGAAUGCCAGAAGAAGACAGAUCAGUGCCAGCAUCACUUGUAGAGAGUAGCUUGCAGUUAGGGAAUUUUAUGCUUAGCUAAAGUGUUGUCUGUCUGAGAAGACUAAAGAAAAAUAUUAUUAUAUGUGCAAAAGCCCUCAUAAAACACUUGUGUUGGGAAGAAAUUACUUGGGCAUAUAACCCGGUUCAUCAAGAGAUAACCACAGGCCGGGCGCUGUGGCUCACGCCUGUAAUCCU